AUACGUAGGUGGCAAGCGUUGUCCGGAAUUAUUGGGCGUAAAGCGCGCGCAGGUGGUUCCUUAAGUCUGAUGUGAAAGCCCCCGGCUCAACCGGGGAGGGUCAUUGGAAACUGGGGAGCUUGAGUGCAGAAGAGGAUAGUGGAAUUCCAAGUGUAGCGGUGAAAUGCGUAGAGAUUUGGAGGAACACCAGUGGCGAAGGCGACUGUCUGGUCUGUAACUGACACUGAGGCGCGAAAGCGUGGGGAGCAAACAGGAUUAGAUCCCCUGGUAGUCCACGCCGUAAACGAUGAGUGCUAAGUGUUGGGGGGUUUCCGCCCCUCAGUGCUGCAGCUAACGCAUUAAGCACUCCGCCUGGGGAGUACGGUCGCAAGACUGAAACUUAAAGGAAUUGACGGGG
rnacentral:rRNA from 1 species